AGCGAACGCUGGCGGCAGGCUUAACACAUGCAAGUCGAGCGGGCAUCCUUGUGGUGUCAGCGGCAGACGGGUGAGUAACGCGUGGGAACGUGCACUUCGGUUCGGAAUACUUCAGGGAGACUUGAGCUAAUACCGGAUACGCGCUAUUGGGGAAAGGUUGAUUGCCGAAGGAUCGGCGCGACUCGGAUCAGCUCGUUGGUGAGGUUAUGGCUCACCAAGGCGACAAUCAGUAGCUGGUCUGAGAGGAUGAUCAGCCACACUGGGACGGAGACACGGCCUAGACUCCUACGGGAGGCAGCAAUGGGGAAUAUUGGACAAUGGGGGCAACCCUGAUCCAGCCAUGCCGCGUGAGUGAUGACGGCCUUAGGGUUGUAAAGCUCUUUUCUCCGGGACGAUAAUGACGGUACCGGAGGAAUAAGCCCCGGCUAACUUCGUG
rnacentral:rRNA from 1 species